rnacentral:rRNA from 1 species
UACGUAGGCAGCAAGCGUUGUUCGGAGUUACUGGGCGUAAAGGGUGUGUAGGCGGUUGGAUAAGUGUGGUGUGAAAUCUCCCGGCUUAACUGGGAGGGUGCGCUACAAACUGUCUGACUAGAGUGUGGGAUGGGUAAGUGGAAUUCCUGGUGUAGCGGUGAAAUGCGUAGAUAUCGUAAGGAAGACCAGUGGCGAAGGCGGGUCUCUGGACAGUUCCUGACACUGAGACACGAAGGCCAGGGGAGCAAACGGG